rnacentral:rRNA from 1 species
GGCGAGUGGCGAACGGGUGAGUAAUACAUCGGAACGUGUCCUGGAGUGGGGGAUAGCCCGGCGAAAGCCGGAUUAAUACCGCAUACGCUCUGUGGAGGAAAGCGGGGGAUCUUUCGGGACCUCGCGCUCAAGGGGCGGCCGAUGGCAGAUUAGGUAGUUGGUGGGGUAAAGGCCUACCAAGCCGACGAUCUGUAGCUGGUCUGAGAGGACGACCAGCCACACUGGGACUGAGACACGGCCCAGACUCCUACGGGAGGCAGCAGUGGGGAAUUUUGGACAAUGGGCGCAAGCCUGAUCCAGCAAUGCCGCGUGUGUGAAGAAGGCCUUCGGGUUGUAAAGCACUUUUGUCCGGAAAGAAAACCUCUGGGUUAAUACCCUGGGGGGAUGACGGUACCGGAAGAAUAAGCACCGGCUAACUACGUGCCAGCAGCCGCGGUAAUACGUAGGGUGCGAGCGUUAAUCGGAAUUACUGGGCGUAAAGCGUGCGCAGGCGGUGAUGUAAGACCGAUGUGAAAUCCCCGGGCUUAACCUGGGAACUGCAUUGGUGACUGCAUCGCUCGAGUAUGGCAGAGGGGGGUAGAAUCCACGUGUAGCAGUGAAAUGCGUAGAGAUGUGGAGGAAUACCGAUGGCGAAGGCAGCCCCCUGGGUCAAUACUGACGCUCAUGCACGAAAGCGUGGGGAGCAAACAGGA